CCAGCGUAAACAAUACUAUGGUAGCUAUCCAGACUCUAUUCAUUGUGAUCCCUACAUCCUCUCCACUAACACUGCUGCCUCCACAGUGCCAAUUGACCCUGCCUUUCACCAAUCUCUAUUAUUCAACAUAUUGAAUCGUAAUCCUUCCUUUCACCAAUAAUAGGGUGUAAUUGCAGUUUAUGCCCUGCACUUUUUAAAAAGUAAAUUGAGCUCCUUCCUCGAUAGACAAUGGACAAUGGUCGAUAAUUUGUAUUUGAAGACAGAUUAAUUCCAGUCAAAAGUAGAAACUUUCAAAACGAAGAUAAAUUACAUACGGGUUUGUCAUUGGGCUCCUUCCUCAACACAAUGGGAACCUAUUUUAAUGUUCAAAACAAACCCAUAAAAAG
rnacentral:lncRNA from 1 species